rnacentral:tmRNA from 1 species
GGGGGCGCACUGGUUUCGACGGGUGUGGAAGCCGAUUUUAAGGAGCAUGUCCGGGGUGGUAACGUGACCCGGUUAUAAACGCGUUUCAAAUGUUAAUCGGCAACGAUUACUCUUUAGCAGCUUAAGUUCUGCUACGUUGACCUAGGAGAUGCCAACACUCCUAGCUAGACGUACUAUCCGUUGGCUUACCACUGAGAGUCUUCCGCCUGUAGAACUCAUGGGACAUCAAUCAGGCUGCGGCUACAGUAGCUUGCCUCGGGCGCCUGUAGCAGGAGGAUAAAUCUAGGAUCUAAGCAUGUAGUAGCCUUUGUCUGCCCACAUUCGGACGCGGGUUCGAUUCCCGCCGCCUCCACCA